rnacentral:rRNA from 1 species
UACAGGGGGUGCAAACGUUGCUCGGAAUUAUUGGGCGUAAAGCGCGCGUAGGCGGCUAUCUAAGUCGGAUGUGAAAGCCCCUGGCUUAACUGGGGAAGUGCACCCGAAACUGGGUAGCUAGAGUGCGAAAGAGGGUCGCGGAAUUCCCGGUGUAGAGGUGAAAUUCGUAGAUAUCGGGAGGAACACCGGUGGCGAAGGCGGCGGCCUGGGUCGACACUGACGCUGAGGCGCGAAAGCGUGGGGAGCAAACAGG